CCAAGUUUUACAAUCAGCUCAACGGAAGUUUAGGUCUGACCUUCCUUAUUUUCGAUAGCCUGUGCCCAGGGUUGUAGAAGGGAUUUCAGUGCAUGGAUAAAAAAUCUGUCUCAUUUUUGGCGAAGUCCAAAAGAUUCUGGCGAAGAAACUUUUUGUCAAUAGCGUUCCCAACAGCUGUUGCAGUGAGCAUUGCUUUGGAUAUCAAAAGGACUCAAGAUUUCAAGAAAAAGAAAGCAAUAGCGCCUGUGAAUCCUCUCUGAAAAAGACAUGGCUCUCCGCAAGAUCCGCCCCCAGCACUAUCGGAUUCUGGCCAGCAUGACAAUCCCGGUCUUCUUUGGACUGUUUGGCAUGUACCAACAACAUCUUCAUGACCAGGACUUCACGUCAUACAGAAACAAGAGCAAAAUGUUUGGUGGAAAGACCUUGCCUGCAGGAGAACAAGCAUGGCACUGAUUUAGCUACCAUUUUUCAUGCAAUCUGUUGUACAAAAUGUUUCUAUAGCCACCUUAAGUCAGUGAAGUAAUUGCUGCUGUUAGAAUUAAAACUGCAAGGCAGGUUUUAUUAUGAUGGUAGGCAGUUUGCCUUUAAUUCUUAUUUGUCAACAGUUACAAGAAUCUGAAAGGUUGCGUAAGAAAAUGGUGAUCUCUUCUCCUUGACUCUUUGUUUUAUCAUGCAGAUAAGAUGUGAUGAUGGUUUGAUUCAGUAUAGAGUUAUGAUCAGUUUGGAUCGAGAUAUGGGUGUUAACACUGUAUGAUGAAGGCAUUGAUAAUACAUUAUAUUGCUGUCAAA